AAGACAUCUACGAUAGCUCUGAAUGGUGCUCCGAGGGCCAAGCCAAAAGGCUGCUACUACUCCUGAAGAGAACUCAUUCCACGGAGUAGCCAAUGUAGUGGGGAGCGUCCCUGGACUACUUAAAUACUGCAGUGCACACAUAAGAGGAACGUGCUGGAAUCAGACAAUAAAACUGAAAAACAGACUACAUAUAAAUGGACAACUGAGAUAAGAAUAUAGACGUGGUGAGGAACCAGUCUUCUUGAAUCCCAGGUAAGAGGCAACAUUCUAAAAACUGGAGGGACCCUUUAGUACCCCUACAUGGCUUUGUAAAAGAGCUUGACCCUGAGUUAGUGUUCAUAAAAACUGAGAUAAUUCUGUGAGAUCUGGAACUGCUGUAUAACUUUUUAGCUAUUUCCUGUGAAGGUUUUCAGUGAGCUUCAUGUGUAAUAUAAAUAUUUCAAAAGUGCAGUUUAGUCCAAACAAGAAAUAGCCCAACUCUGUAUUGUUUCAACAUUCAAUGAGAAUAACUUAUAUUCAAAAGUUGUAGGAAUUUAGGCAUAGAGAAAGCUACUCUCACACAUUUAAAAUGCACGAAACAGCAGAGGAAGUAGAAGGAAAUUUAAGAGCUGAGAUCUGACACAACGAAGGUUGUGUUUCAUCACAGGGAAGGCAUAGAGUCUGAACUGGAUUUUUUCAGUUGUUAAAACACUAGACAAGGAGAGACUUGGUGUCUUUAAAUCUGUGAAAGUAGAUUGUUUCAAGAAAUGCUGUAUUUUAAGACAAUUUUAAUCAAACCUAGUUAACUGCCAGAAAUGUUUUCACCUGUAUUAAUAUAUUUAUAGAUAUUAAGAUUCAAAUCUGAGUUGCAUCCUUUCUUACUUGGAUAUUUGCUCUUAAUUAAAAUGCUUUGUAUCCUUUAAUCCUUUCUAUCCUUUAGUUUUAUGCUACAUACGAAACUCCAAAUCAUAUAGAAUUAGUGAGAAUGUAAACUGUCUUUUAUAAUAGCUUUAUUUUCAUACUAUUAAAAUCGUAUUAAAAUGUAGAAAUGUUAAAAUAUUAAGUGUCUGUAAAAUGUGAUGCUAAUAUUAAUUUUGGAAGGUUUAAUGUUUUGAAAUGGAUAUUAAUUGCUCUAAAGAUUAAAGUGUUAUUCUUUGAUGUUUCUGGAAUGGAUUCAUCCCUUGAGAUAUGCCAUUACACACCUUUCUUUCCCAGAAAUUUUGCAUUUGGGGACAUGAGAGUUUAAUUUACAUAAUUGACUAUUUUUCUUUUUUUUAGCCAUUAAAUUUAAAAUAUGUCCUAUCAUCCUAAUAAAAUUUCUGUGGUUUCACAGAAAUAUUAAAGAUGCUUAUUUGGAUAACAAGUUUAAUUCAAAACAUUUCUUAUAAUGUACUUAUGAUGUGCUCAACAAUAACUUAGGAGUACCCCAGAAAAUAAAGUACUCUCAAAAAUUGACAAUAUCAAUAACAGGAUAAUAUACAUGAAAUAGAUAAUUACCCAAAAUGUAUAACUUGAAAGAAGGGUAGAAUUUUGAUUGGAGAAGAUGAUAUUCCAAAACAGAAGAUUCAGCAUGAGUUUUAUGAAAAAAGUUUCAGCCUGUACAACAAAGUGAGACCUUGCCUCUACAAAAACUAAAACAAUUAGCCAGCUUUGGUUACACAUGACUGUGUUUCCAGCUACUCUGGAGGCUGAGGCAAGAGGAUCACUUGAGCCUGGGAGGUUGAGGCUGCAGUGAGCCAUGUUUAUGCCACUGCACUCUAUCCUGGGCAACACAGUGAGACACAGUCUCAAAAUAAAUAAAUAAAUAAAAGAAAAGAAUAAAGAAAAAAAGAAAAAAGUUUCUUUCUGGGAUAGGGAGAAGUGGGUCAACGUGUUUGUUAGGUAGGUAAUUUAGCAUCAAAUUUUUGGGGGCCAUAGUGGAAGCAAACAGAAGAAAGAAGUUGAUUAAAAGGAAAAAAAGGCCUUAUGAUGGUCAUGAAAAAUUUUGACUGAAAUGGGGCCACUGAAUUAGGUGAAUUUCAGAGUGAAGUUUCAAGAGAACAUUAAGAAUUGAAGUCACAUUAUUGAAGUCUAAGAAGAAAAACAGUUAUGACAAAUGGUGGCAGCAGGAAUAGCCCACUCAUCUGAAGAAAAGGAAAAUUAGGGUCAAAGAAAGUUACAGAGAACCUGCUCUGAAGUCACCUGAGCCUUAGCCAGCAGAGGACUCUUUUGAGCCAUGUUCUUAGGCUGUUGAGCUCAGCUCAGCGAAUUGCUCCAUCCAGACCACCAGAGCUCUUCCAGGGACAUGAAAAGUAAGAAAUGGAAACAAGCAAGCCCUAUGGAGAGUUUGGAUUAAUGUGCAGUAAUUGCAUCACUGAUACUUGUGUCCAGUCACAGUUGGCAUUCAAGAUUCUGUUGACUUUUACUGUUGAAGGCUUUCUUUAAGGGAAGCAAACACAAAUAAAAAGGCUGCCUCUCCACCCCACCCCACCCCAUAGCAAAGCUAAGUAAGAUCACUGUCCAACCCUGGAUAUCCAGAUUCAUGGUCAAAAAUCCAAAAGGUAAUGUGGUGAGUUUCAUGUUUAAAUUUACUCUUGGCGAUCGGCGUGGAGCCUCCUUUUCCAUGUCGGAUUAACUAGAGGCUCACCCUGGUCCUCCUGGGCCCUCACACUUCCCCACAGGGCUCAUCCAGCGCUUCUUGAGCAGCAGGGAAGCUUUGCCACAGGAUCCAGCAUCUCAGGGCACAGUAUCUUGCAUGGCUGACUUGAUCUCACUUUCUUCCUCUGAGCAGCUGUGUGGCAAUUCAGAGGUGAAGAGGUAGAUAAUUGGACAGUGGAAUUGAGUCCUGUGUGAUACAGGGUUAAAAAAGAAAUUCCUUCAGUACGAACAGCAGCUUGGAAAGAACCCAACAAACAAAAACCCUGUAUGUACAGCAAAUGAAGCCAAAGGGAGGCUUGAGAACAGUGGAGUUCUGCUUGGAUGUGACGAGACCACCAGCCAGAAAGCUCAGAAGCAUUACUCAUGAUGCAAGGCUGCUGUCAAGUAAUGAUUUAACUUAAAAAUGCCGUCUAUUCUUUUCCCUACCUGCUUACUCAGUACAUUGCAAAUUAACAUGAAAAGUGACUUCAGCACAAAUUUUUUAAUUUGUUUUUGUCAGGGUAAGUAGUUUUUAAUUUCUACAGAAAAUUUCAGUAAAAGAAAAAUAUUUUCUGAA